rnacentral:ncRNA from 1 species
GGCAUCGAGCGAAGCAAAGAUGCGACGCGAGAGGGAACCCGGUGAGAUUCCGGGACUGUCCCGCAGCGGUAUGCAGGAACGACCGCCGUCUUUACAGCACUGGUCUUGCGACUGGGAAGCGACGGCCAGUAGGAGCACCCACCGGUGCGCGCCUGCGAGUCCGAAGACCUGCC